rnacentral:rRNA from 1 species
GCUUGUCUCAAAGAUUAAGCCAUGCAUGUCUAAGUAUAAGCACCCUUAUACAGCGAAACUGCGUACAGCUCAUUAUAUCAGCAAUUAUUUAUUUGAAGGUCACCUAUUACAUGGAUAACCGUGGUAAUUCUAGAGCUAAUACAUGCUGGUGUGCCUGACUUUUCGGAAGGGCGGUAUUUAUUAGAUAACGAACCAAUAUUCCUCUGGUCUAUUGUGGUGAAUCAUAAUAACUGAUCGAAUCGCAAAGCCUUUGGCUGCGAUAUGUCAUUCAAGUUUCUGCCCCAUCAGCUUUCGAUGGUAGUGUAUUGGACUACCAUGGCUUUUACGGGUAACGGAGAAUUAGGGUUCGAUUCCGGAGAGGGAGCCUGAGAAACGGCUACCACAUCUAAGGAAGGCAGCAGG